AACGAACGCUGGCGGCAUGCCUAACACAUGCAAGUCGAACGAGACCUUCGGGUCUAGUGGCGCACGGGUGCGUAACGCGUGGGAACCUGCCCUUAGGUUCGGAAUAACUCCCCGAAAGGGGUGCUAAUACCGGAUAAUGUCUUCGGACCAAAGAUUUAUCGCCUUUGGAUGGGCCCGCGUUGGAUUAGCUAGUUGGUAGGGUAAAAGCCUACCAAGGCGACGAUCCAUAGCUGGUCUGAGAGGAUGAUCAGCCACACUGGGACUGAGGCACGGCCCAGACUCCUACGGGAGGCAGCAGUGGGGAAUAUUGGACAAUGGGCGAAAGCCUGAUCCAGCAAUGCCGCGUGAGUGAUGAAGGCCUUAGGGUUGUAAAGCUCUUUUACCCGGGAUGAUAAUGGCAGUACCGGGAGAAUAAGCUCCGGCUAACUCCGUG
rnacentral:rRNA from 1 species